UACAUGGGGUGCAAACGUUGCUCGGAAUUAUUGGGCGUAAAGCGCACGUAGGCGGUUCGUUAAGUCGGAUGUGAAAGCCCUCGGCUCAACUGAGGAAGUGCACCCGAAACUGGCGAGCUUGAGUACGAAAGAGGAUCGCGGAAUUCCCGGUGUAGAGGUGAAAUGCGUAGAGAUCGGGAGGAACACCAGUGGCGAAGGCGGCCGGCUGGGGGUGACCUGACGCUGAGGCGCGAAAGCGUGGGUAGCAAACAGG
rnacentral:rRNA from 1 species